UGUAAAUUAUAAAUUAAAACAAUUAAAAUGUGAAAAAAGAAGUAGAAUAUAAAAAACAAAAUUUUUAAAUGCAAACCAAGCAUUGGACGUUCUAGUGGGAUAUGGAUACAACUUUGAAAUUGGACAAUUCCAUCAGCUGGGCAAAAGAGCCAACCUUCUAAAUUCAACCAUGGAACGGAGUGUAUACUUAGGCUAUUAAAAUUUCAAAAGCACCCACACAUUUUUUUAACAUCAGGGUCUAUUAAAAAAGGUCUUUGUCACUGCAAUAAAUAUGCUACACCAGAUUUUGCAUCUCUACAUCCAUAAGCCCUCGUGACAUUCAUUUCCAAUAAACGUUCUCCAAAGCGCUAAAAUGAAAAUAGUUGCCGCAUGAACUAUGAGCUGUAUGAGUUCCACAGAAUCGGACGGAAAGGACUAUACCUUCUAUGAAAAGAUCGUAUGGAAGAUUGUAUAUUGAAUUUUGGUCUAUACCUUCUAUGAAAAGAUCGAGUGGAAGAUUGUAUAUCGAACUUUGGUGUUAAGGAUACAAGAAGUGUACAAGACUAAAGUGCUUGGAGUCAUGCUGGUCGCCUAAGUAUGCUGCAGUUACUACUUCCGGCGAACGACCCAUGAUAUCGAUGGCAUAGACGAAUAUUCACAUAUGUAUCUCGUAUAAUCUUCUCCAGCAGGAUAUUAAAGAGAUCACACGAUAAGCUGUCUCCUUGGCUGAAACCUCGUUUGGGAUACCAAACUCCAUGGCAGCCGGUUGUACGAACUGGAUUGACCCCAUUAAAUCAUGAGUCAUGAGCAAGGUCUGCCGCCUCAGUGGGCAAUAAUGCUGCAACAACAACAGCCAAACUCAGACAUGGCUUGAAAUACCUUUGAACGUAUAGGGCACAUGUGUUAGUGUGCGUAAUAUUUCCAAACCCAUGGGCUUAUGCUCUUGCACACUUUCACAAAUAUGUACUAUCGAAAGCGGAUUUGUAGUCAACAAAGAGAUGCUAAAAGUUGAGCUGUCCUUCUCGGGUCUUUUCCAAAA
rnacentral:sRNA from 1 species